rnacentral:rRNA from 1 species
GAUGAACGCUGGCGGCGUGCUUAACACAUGCAAGUCGAACGGUGAACGAGGGAGCUUGCUCCCUCCGGAUCAGUGGCGAACGGGUGAGUAACACGUGAGCAAUCUGCCCUGGACUCUGGGAUAAGCGUUGGAAACGACGUCUAAUACCGGAUACGAGGCGUGGGGGCAUCCCCAACGCCUGGAAAGAACUUCGGUCCAGGAUGAGCUCGCGGCCUAUCAGCUAGUUGGUGAGGUAACGGCUCACCAAGGCGACGACGGGUAGCCGGCCUGAGAGGGUGACCGGCCACACUGGGACUGAGACACGGCCCAGACUCCUACGGGAGGCAGCAGUGGGGAAUAUUGCACAAUGGGCGCAAGCCUGAUGCAGCAACGCCGCGUGAGGGACGACGGCCUUCGGGUUGUAAACCUCUUUUAGCAGGGAAGAAGCGAAAGUGACGGUACCUGCAGAAAAAGCACCGGCUAACUACGUGCCAGCCGCCGCAGUAAGAC